GAAGCGUGGAUACUGCAUUAUGCUGCGCCACGAUCCACAACCAGUAAGAGUGACUGGCUGGUUUUAAUAAAGGUUAAAAAGCGGUUUCUGUUCUAUUUCUUCUAGGAGGUCCCAGUAAUGAGGAAGACUCUCACAUAUGAAGCUCCUGGGGUGAGGCGGCCGGAGUCAUUCCUCAUCAAUACCUUAGGACGCUGCAUUUGUGUUGAUGUUUGACUGAUGCUCUGAUUUUUCAGAGCCGAGUGGACGCUGAUCCAGGUGCCGGUUUGCUGCUAAGCUCCCAGACCUUCACAGCCGAGACCUCCAACACCACCACCACCACACACAUCACCAAGGUAACACCAUCACCAUCACGUAAAUCAGUACUGGGGGAUAACACACUGUGGAGUAAUGAGGGGUUUCUGUUUUUCACCUCAGACGGUGAAAGGAGGAAUUUCAGAAACCAGAAUUGAGAAGAGAAUCGUGAUUUCUGGAGACACAGAGAUCGACCACGACCAGGUACUGUGACUCUGUAAGGCUAGUUGGAUAUAAAGGACAGAGAAGCAAUAAGGCAGAUCCAGAUGUGAUGUGGUGAGGCCUGUACCUAAACCAUGCUCCAGACCCAGACCAGGUUUUGACACUCGUGUCUUUCUUGAAGGCCCUGGCAGCAGCGCUCAGCGAGGCGCGACGGCAGCAUCCUGAGCUGUCCGUCACCCGAGUUGUCGUCCAUAAAGAAACCGAGGUCUCUCCUGAACAUGUUAUUGAGUAAUGACAGCAAAGGAAUCCUAAGGCCUCUGCUGCAUUAUGGGAGUUGCAGUCCAGUCUACAGAACCAUCGCUGCCAUUGUUUGCAGUGCCACUCAGUGGAUAAGAAACUAAGGAUUUACAGGCACCCACCCCCACAUCUUCAUGCAUGUACAUGUGUAAGCACACAGUAACACAGUAGGACCUGUCUGCCUGACCGGGUGGAUCAUACGCUUCUGAGCAGUUAGCAUUACCUCGAUUGUGUAACUAGAUUUAGAUGAAAGUGUUGUGAAGACUUAUGCAACACACCAAGAUGGCUGAGAGGCAGACGGGCUGCUGCUGUGAUUAACACCGUGUACCUCAGAUCAACCUUCAUCAACAAACCUCCGACAGGUUAAAGGCAUUGAUUGGCUGCUGACUCAGGAGCUCCCGAUGGAGACAUUAGCUUUAUUACACAUUGAAGAGCAUCACGCCUGAAAGGCUGGUUUACCUGAUCAGGUCACUGUCAGGAGAGGAACUGGGCUUUUAUUCUGACAGUCUGAUGCACACUGUUUCCUGUCUAAAAUGUAAAACAGCAUGACUAGAAGCACUGCAAUGACACACUGUAUAGUAGCUAAAGCUCUGUAUUUACCCACAAUUCAAUAGUAAUGUGCCAUUCUUCUUUUAUCUUGCCAUAAGAACCCUUAUUUAUUUAUUUAUUUAUGUAUUUAUUUGCACUUGUUUGUUGUGUUUAUUUACUGAUUAGAUCUGACCCCUGCCAGUCUUAGAACCCCCCAACCCAUGGUGUCAGGUGACAGACAGACCACGCCCCCCCCCUUCCCGUGGUGUCAGGUGACAGACAGACCACGCCCCAUCGGUGUC
ensembl:lncRNA